rnacentral:rRNA from 1 species
AAUGAACGUUGGCGGCGUGGAUUAGGCAUGCAAGUCGAGCGAGAACCGUAGCAAUACGGGGACAGCGGCGAACGGGAGAGUAACGCGUGGAGUACCUGCCCUGGGGACUGGGAUAGCCGUGGGAAACUGCGGGUAAUACCGGAUAACGUCUCCGGACCAAAGGUGUGAUUCCGCCCUGGGAUGGCUCCGCGUCCUAUUAGCUUGUUGGUGGGGUAAUGGCCUACCAAGGCUGCGAUGGGUACCGGGUGUGAGAGCAUGACCCGGCUCACUGGGACUGAGACACUGCCCAGACACCUACGGGUGGCUG